GCGGCUGCGGCGGGGCCGGGAGAGGCGGCAGCGAGGAGCUCAGGGGUUUCGUCCGGCAGGGAGUGAGAUCCUGUCCACUUGCCGCUGAAACCUCCUAAAAGAUUCAGUUGGAAACCGGAUUAAGUAUUAAGGCCGGAGACCAUCUGCGAGCUUAGCCAUUAAAUCCCUGGAGCAACAAGCCUCUGUUUUAAAUUCAUGUGAUAUAAUACUGCCCUCUUUAUAAUAAGUUUUCAUGCCAGAAGAACACAGUCAAACUAUAAUGGCAGUUGAUGAACUUCAAGCCAUAAUACAAAGAUGUCAAAUUCUGGAAGAAGCUGAUUUCAAAGGAGAAGAUUUUAAUCUGUUUCAGGUAGCAGGUCAGAAAUGUUUGGAAGAUGGAUAUGCAGCUCAGUUAUUAGAAGUAAUUCAAAAUGAGAAAAACAAGGUUAUCAUCAAGAAUAUGGGUUGGAAUCUCAUUUCUCCUCUUGUUAGAUGUAUUUUCAUCUAUAAACAAGAAGAUGAUAAGCGAGAACACUGCCUGAGGAUACUAGAACAGUUGGCACAGCUCUGCAAUCCAAAGGAACUUUUUUUGGGUUUACUGGAGCAGAUUGAGCAGACCUCUGGAGAGCAAGUGUGUCAAACUGUCAUGUUAUUGCUUCAGCCUUUGCAGACAGUGCUUUUGAAACUUCAGAACAAGAAGGCCUACUCAGUGGGUUUGUCAUUGGCCAUGAUUAUGAAUCAGCUCACUCCAUUACCUGUACCCUACACAAAACAACAAAUACAAGAAGAUAAACUUGGUCUCUGUCAAUGUUGUAAUGCAGUGGUGGACUUUGCUAAACCUUUUGUGAAUGAAGUUGUUAAAAAUAUGGAAAAGUCGUCAGAAUACAAUGACAUGGAGCUGAAAGAAGAAUUAAUAAAAUUCUGUAUGAAAAGCCUGCAAUACCCAUUAUUGAUAGCUCAGCUUGAGCAACUUGAGGGCAUUGAAGAACAUCCUUUUCGGCAUUUUGCAACUGAAAUUACAGGCAUUUUGUGGAACAUUGGAGAAUUGAUACCAUUAGUGUUUGUACAUCACAAGGGCAAAAGUCCACACUGGGAGAAUCAGGAGUUUGCAGACAUAGAGCGAAAGAAUUCCGCCGAUUCUUUGGCAUGUCUGUCAUAUCUGAUGUUUGUUCAGCAUUUUGGUGUCGAAUGCUUCCCAGUGGUUUUUAGUCCUUCAUACCUUCUGCUGUGCAAUAUGACACAUAUUGAAGUGCUGCUGAAAAGAACAGAAGAAUCUGUAUUAUCUAAAGGACUUGAUCUGUUUGAGAGCUGUUUAUUGAGAAUGGAAGAUAACAGCCUGCACCAUCACUAUUUAGAAUUCAGAGACUUUAUUAAUGUACCUCAGGAUUUGGUGAAAAUUAUGACCCUUUGUCCCAUGGAGCAUAUGAGAAAGAAGAGUUUAAGUAUUUUGCAGUUGUUCAUAGACAAGUUUGAUACAGAGGGAAAAUAUGCAUUAUUCAGGUGUUUACUGAAGACAAGCAACCAUGCUGGUGUGGAAGGAUACAUUAUUAAAAAUAUAAAAGAUCAGAUUCACUUGGCAUUAACGGAGUAUGACAACAUUUGGUUUAUGGGACAUCACCUGAUCUCCCUUCUAGAUUUAGUACUUUCACUUCCAGAAGGUGCUGAGACCGAUCUUCUGCAAAAUUCAGACAGGAUUAUGGCAUCAUUAAAUCUGCUGAGAUACUUGAUCAUUAAGGAUUGUGAAAGUGACAAUCAGACUGGUGUAUGGACCACACUUGGCAAGAUAGAGCAGAAUUUCUUAAAACCACUGCGUGUAGGACUCAAUAUGUCAAAAGCACAUUAUGAAGCGGAAAUAAAAAAUAAGAAAGAGAACAGAAAAGAGGCACACAGUUCUAACACAGUUUGCUCUGUAACUGUUAGUGGGGAAAAGAUGCCUGCCAUGACUACCGGAAUGCAGCUUCAAGUUUUACACUCAGCUCUCUUUACAUUUGAUUUAAUAGAAAGUGUUCUAGCUCGAGUAGAAGAACUCAUUGAAGUGAAAACAAAAGCUGUAAUGGAUGAAAAUAGUUAAGGGAGUGAAGUGUUUGAAUUACCAUACUCCUGAAAAGAACAUCUGAACUAUGAGACUUCAGUUACAAGGGAUGCUAUGGCCCUUUAAAGAAGAGCAAUUUAGAGUGGCCUCCAGAAGAACUGCAAAUGCUGCUCUUCAUAAGUCUUGUUGCUGUUCUUUUUUAUUUUCUUUUGCUCUUGUUGCAUGUUAUUUGCAGAUAAUGUCUAUUUACUCCUCUUCAGAAUUGUGAGCUUUUUCUUAUGUUUGGAAACUAAAAGCAGGGGUGUGCUCUUCUCUGUGGCAAGGAGUAGGUGUUCAGGAAUGCUGUACACAGAGGUGAUAGUAUUUGAACAGGAGUUAACAGUAAAUGAUGACAUCCUAACUUAACAAUGAGCUAAAACAGGAGAGGGACUUCACAACAAAGAAUGAGGAAUUUUAAAUAACCAAAAUGAAUUUAAAUAAUGCAGAUGAAGUGCCCAGCUGCUCAGUUGCAUAGUCCCCUGUGACCUCCCCUUGUGCCUGCCACCUGUUCUUCCCUGCAAUCUGUCUGAUGACUUGGACUCAUUCACAUUAAGACCUCCUGCUGGUAAGGUAUCUCAUCUGAACUUGUCUGCCCUUGCUCCUAAUUAGCAAAAAUAAAUGUUACAGGAACUGUCCUUCGCUAAGCAUAGGCACUCAGGUCCCUGGUGAAUUUUGCCAAAAUGUGAUGUAGGAACAAUGGUUGGAUUUACAUUUAGGGAUUAGGGAAAUAAAUUGAUGCAAUUUUGCAAAUACUGGAAUGGGCUAAACAAAGCAUGGAUGAACAAAGUGCAACAACUAAAUAAUUACAUGUACUUAACUAGAUACAUGAAAAUCUAUUUCUAUAAAUAGUUUUGCUUCCAAUAACAGCAGGUCUAAAUUUAGUGUUAUUAAUUUGACUGAUGGACAGAAUACUGGAAAUUUUAACAUGGCUGGCCUUUCCUCCAAGGUGUUUAAAACAUACCAUACAGAUGUACUGAGGUUAUUUCUUAGCUUAUUUAAGCUGCUAUGAUAAACAUUACUUUUCUCCCACUUCCACCAUGCUAUACACAAUUCUGCAUAAAGUGUUCGUGUUGUUAACAAGAAUCCUUUAAUUUUCUUGUUAAUAAUAACAAAAAAAUAAUCCUUCCCCAACUGUAGCAAAGCCAUAGAUAAGCAGAAAGAAAUAGUAAUAAAAGACAACCUGAUGAUACUAAGGGGCUUUUUUUUUUUUAACAAAUCCAACAGGUGGCUUUUAAUUUCAAAGAACAUGGCACAAGUUUCAACCCCACUAGGAGAAGCUCAGUCAGUGAUUUACAAACAAUAGCAGAACUUCAAGCUGCCAGACAAGACAUGGAUUCACAUCUGAUUUCUCUCUCCUGUUGGUCUACCACACCCAAAUUAGAGUAACCCCGCUCUGCAAAGGUGUUCCAGAGAGCAGUGACAGGACCCACAAACUGAAACCGUGUUCUGUAACACACUGGAACCAUAUGCUAUGACUGAAUACAAAAAUCAAGGACUUAAGAACAUCAGGAAUAAUUUUAAAGUACAAUUAUAAAAUAAUAGAGAAGUUUUAUGAUGAGGAUUGGUGAUCCUGCUGACAUUUGUCAAUAUGAAUUUUGAAUUUAUGCACACUGUGAAUGAAUUUGUUUCAGUGCUGGAAAGAGUUAAAGAGUAGGAGCUGCUUUGUUUUUAAGGGUUAUACUUGAUCUAUAACACUACAGUGUAUCUGAAUUCAUAUCUUGGAUUAUGUUUAAUAUGUACAUGAAUUAAUUGAAUUACUGCUAUUCAGAUAGAGAAAAAAUAAUAGUAGGGAAUAUAAUGGAAUAAAGAAUGAUUCCCAGAGUAAAUAUAUUUAACAGUUGACUAGAGUUCAGUUUCUUUAGGUGUAAUACUGUUAGAGAUGGGCAGUACAUAAAAGAAAGGGUAAAUUAUUACAUUAAAAAAAUUGUAAUUACAAAGAAAUAUAAAUAUGGGAUUUAGGCUCCUGUGAUACCAGCAGGUACCUUUUUUCCCUGAUAGCCACUCACUGUGCAUGAAUCUGGACACCCCCAAACUCUGAAUAUCACUUGAGAAGCAUCAAAGUACAGUGGUGGAUAAGUGUGGGACAUUGAGAAAAACCCAAAUCUUAACAGAAAAUGCUUCUUUUUGGUAUUUUGAUAUAAAUAUAAUAUCUUCUUUGUUGUUGUUAUACAUUUACUUGUGUAAAUUAUGUGUCUUAAUUACAGUUCAAAUACUUAUACCAGAAACUUAAUAUAUUUCUGCUUAUCACUUACAUUUGACAAUAGCUGGUAUUUGAAAUAAAAGUAGGACUCUUUCUGAGACAGAAGGUUCUGAGUAGAAUGGACCCUGGACUCUGCACUGUCUCUUGUGUGAGAGCUGCCCUGGCCUAAUGCUUGUCUGGUACAAAUCUGAUGCAAUGGGACAUGCUGAGCGCCUGGGACUCUGUCCAAGUGACAAUUCUGGUAGAAAUUUGUUCUGCAAUACCAUUUGAGUAUUUCAUGACUUGACUUUCUCUUUUUUUGAGCCUGGAUGUCAGAACACUAAUUAAAUAGAGCUUGGGCUCAAAGAAAAUACAUUUUUCUGAACUGAAAGAGCAUUCAGAGCAUUCUUCUCCACAGUAGUUUCCUUUCCCAAAAGGGACUUUUGAGGGAUCCUGUACUAUCUGAUGAGUUCAAGUUAUUUUCCUACUUACUGUUAUCUCUGCUGUAACAGUUUCUGACAUUUGGCUAGUCUUAGCUUUAAAUCUCAGAAGCAUUUCUCUCCCACAUACAUACAUGGUGCAUUUCACAUACAGGUGAAGGUGCAGGAGAGAGAAAGAACAGGGCUGAGUCUGGCAGCAUAUCAAAUAUUUCCUGGAAGCAGAGUACAGAACCCCACUUAGGCAAGAAUAGAAAGAUUUUGUGACUAGAACUCCCCUAUGAUGAAGAUAAUGGCAUAAGCAUUUGAAUUAAUAACUAAUUUAUGACAAGGCAAAAUCUAUCAUCAAAUUAGUGUUUCUCUAUGUUCUCCUGACCCAUAUCCUUUAUGUUCUACAUCAGCACCAUUGUUUGAUUUUGUGGGACUGUUACAUAGGUAUCUUCCCCUCUAUGUAUUUUUAUAUGAAAACUGAUUGUCAAUCUUCACACACAUAUCACCUGUCCUGUUCUCUGACACAAUUAAAAAAAAAAAUAAUAAAAAAAAAAUUUUCUUUUAAAGGAGAAAAAGGACUGAAAGUUCACUAAACAGAUGGAAAAUAACUUUUUUUUUCUUUUGCCAUUUAAAGAGCACAAAUAAAAACUGAUGUCAGCAGUCCACAAGUUGAAUGAAGUACAGUGACUCAGCAUUUAACUCACACAUAGGAUUUAUUAUUUUCUGUCAUACAGAAAUCAACUAAGAACCUUCAGUAUGUAGUAUGGGGAAGAAAGGUUGUGGGACUAUGCAACCAUACAGAUAUUCUGGAAACAGAACACCAUGUUGACAAGAAAUCAUUUCAAAGUAGGAUUACUUAGGCCCCAGCUCGUUAUCUAAGUCUGGAAAGCAAGCAGGUGGGAAACAUGCAAGCAUUCAGUUCGAGAGCUUAACACCCUUCCCUCCUCUCCACAGGACUGAGUGAUCAAAAUAUUUUAGGACCAUAAAGCCAUGGACUACAGUUAGUGACUCAAACUUUUCUUCAUAUGCAUCCCAUUAUACAUAUAUUGGAUUAAUCUUGGUUACUAGAACAUAAUCCAGAAAAUAGAGAUUGAAGGUUUUUAUUUCCUCUACAGAUGCAGGAGGGGAUUUUGUUACAGGCAGGAAGUUUGACUUAGAAGUGGGUCUUUUAUUUAUGGAUAUUACCUCAUUGUGUGAAAGUCACAAAAAGUUCUUACACUGCCUACUCUAGAUCUGGUAUGUACACAGGGUUUGUCUUAUCUGUAUUGAUCUUAAGCACACUGAUAUAACUUUACUGGCAGGAUGUCAUGCCAUACUUGAAAGAGAGUUAUUAAAAAAAAUAAGUGAAGAACAAAAAUUAUUAAGCAUAACUCUAAGAAAAUUGAAAAAAAUUCUGACAUAAGGAUUGCAUAGGUGAAGAUAUUGUAGAUUAAAGUAAGUAGGUGAGAUCAGUCUCAAAAGCGUUUUAUACAUUUAAGGUACAUGAGCCAAAAUUUUUACUCCAGUAACUAGUCUUCCUGUCCAGACACUUAAAUAAAGUGGUCUUUAUAAAUGUGCAUCUGAUAGCACUCACACUAAGUUCAGCAGGAGCUGAGAAAGAGUAGUCACUGUCACUCGAGUGCAUAAAUACAAAGUAUGAUGGACUACCUGGAUAACUGGGCUGAAUCCCAAAUUUGUGCAUGUGGACCUCUGUUCAGGUUCACCAGAAUACACACUCUAGUCCAGUUAACAGUCAUCAUCUUUAAGUAUACAAACCCUAUUUUGAGCAUCAGUGUCCUUGUUAAACGAAUCUAGUUACUUAGUUACAGUCAGCCUCUCCAGAUAUUGAAGUUUGAGUUACUGAAGUAUGCGUAUGAAGUACUGCACAGAAAAGUAUGUAUUCAUACUUUACUGUGCAAUAGAGAAAGGACUUUUGUUGCAUGUAAUGCAAAAAGAUUCUUAGGACUUUGAUUUUUCUAACUGGACAGUCUUCUGAGAAGUCAUUUAAGGAGAACAGGGAAGCAAUUUAAUGGUAUUCCAUGAUUAAUUAUUUCAUACUUUAACUGCAUCCAGAUGGUUCAUCAGGAUUAGAAUCUCAUUAAGCUGAGUACCAUAUAAAAACACAAGUAUGCACAGUGCCUGCCCCCAGUGUCAGCUCCAUUACCCUCUCUGAAAAGAAAAUGUUAAGCUGAAAGCCAAUCUGCAGAUGUGGCUGUGGAUUCACUUCUGUGUUUGCAGAACUGUGGCUUAAUAGAGUGUACAGUGCAGAUUGCAAAGAGAAGUAUGUAAGGAAGGUCAAAUGCAAGAAAUAAACAGGUGUAUGUGCACGCCUGCUCUGUAUAGCUUCUUCUGUUUUCAGUUACCAAAUGUAAAACAAAGAAAUUACCAAACUCAGUGUUUUUCCCCAGUUGAUAUCCAGCUUUUAGAUCAAUCACUUUUCUCUGUUACAGGUUUAGUUUCCUUAAACACACAGUAGUUGUCAAUAGGAAGAAGCUAGGUUUUAAAUUAGCUAAAGACAUUUGAACUGUAAUUUUUCCAAAGUUGAACAUCAAAGCUUAUUUUAAAAGAAAAUUGCAUAUAGCUUUUGUUCAAGAGAGAAGGAUGAAAAUCAGUGUGGAUUUUCUGCAAGAGAUGAAAGCUUCUAAUUAUAUUUGAUUUCAGAUAUGAAAGCCCAUUUCCAGAGAAUCAUCUGUUGUAAUAAAGCUGCAAUACUUCUCAUUU